rnacentral:rRNA from 1 species
CUCGGCAGACGAGGCACCUGCGGCCGAUUAGCUAGUUGGUGGGGUCACGGCCUACCAAGGCGAUGAUCGGGAGCUGGUCUGAGAGGAUGAUCAGCCACACGGGGACUGAGACACGGCCCCGACUCCUACGGGAGGCAGCAGCAAGGAAUUUUCCGCAAUGGGCGCAAGCCUGACGGAGCAACGCCGCGUGCGGGAUGACGCCUUUCGGGGUGUAAACCGCUGUUCGUGGGGACGAAGCACUGACGGUACCCACGGAGGAAGGCCCGGCUAACUACGUGCCAGCAGCCG